rnacentral:rRNA from 1 species
UACGUAGGUGGCAAGCGUUGUCCGGAUUUACUGGGCGUAAAGAGCGCGCAGGCGGUCGGCCAAGUCGAGUGUGAAAGCCCCCGGCUCAACUGGGGAGGGUCAUUCGAUACUGGUCGACUCGAAGGCAGGAGAGGGAAGCGGAAUUCCCGGUGUAGUGGUGAAAUGCGUAGAUAUCGGGAGGAACACCAGUGGCGAAGGCGGCUUCCUGGCCUGUUCUUGACGCUGAGGCGCGAAAGCUAGGGGGGCAAACGGG